rnacentral:rRNA from 37 species
GACCUGCGGAGGGAUCAUUA